GGGAAAACGUGGGAGAAAAAUGUAUUGAAGGUAAAAAAUGAAAGUUGGAAAGGCAGACCAGACUUAUAAAAUAUUAAAAUCGACAAAAAUGCUUCCAUUUUUCCCCCCCUCUCAUGUCAGCUUAGCUGAAAGAAACUGAACAGGAAGAAGGUUUUAAAUUGAUUAUCUCAAUGACAGAUCCCAGGAAGCUUUUGUUAUCAAAGGUCCCCGUUUUGAGUUUUUUUUAACUCUUUCCCUCAAUGUUUCUUUUUUCACUUCCUGAGUCCUGGUAAACCCUGCCCCCCCCCGGCCCCGCUGCCCCCCGUUGGUGAUUAAAUCCUGAGGACCGUGGAGUGUCUCGGUGAAUGAAUGGCCGGCAGAAAAGAGCCCUCUCCCUUCCCCGGCUGUGUUUUUCAGUUUUAUUCCACUUUCCGCCCUUUUCCCUAAUGAACACAGGGCUAAUCUUGGGCCUUGUGGAGGGAAGAGGCAGCGGCCUUAAUGAGGCGGCCACUGGAAUCCAGUGGUCCUCUCGGGAGGAGCCCUCUUUGUCUGCGUUGGGAAAACACGCUGAUGACCAUAAGGAGGUGAACCGGCGACCCCGGGGCAGGGCCUUGGGGCUCUGGAGCCACACUCCUGAUUUGGGGGCCGGGGCUGCCGUUUCCUUUGCUCCCCCUUCAAGUCCUGCCUCAGCUGCAGCGCACGGUCCAUUGAGUGGGGUUGAGAGAGAAGGCAGCUUUGGGGAGGGGGCGGCCGCUAGGGCUGCUUUGGAAAAGAGGCUUUUGUGUGCCCCACAUGCAGCGCAGCUGGCCGGGACGUUGCUGUCCCAGCCCUCCAAGAGGGAGGAACUGGGGUCCAACUUUGAGCAACUCAGAACCUGCCUUGGUUCAGGAACCCCCGGGACCCUAAGAACCAGCCUUACUCAAGACGAAUGAAGGGUAGAGAAGUGCCGGGUCCCAGAUGCACAACCCUUGGGGAUACCAGCGUGAACCCACGUUCAUGCCACAUCUGGGUCCAGAAAUCAGAUGGGUAUUAACAUCCCAGAGGUCCCCUCCAACGAGAGGGCAAGGUUGGGGGUUCCGAGUUGGCUCCAGCACACUGGUGCUGGGCUUAGUUACUUCACCUGCACCGGUUUCCUCAGCCGAACACUGGGUUGGUGGAAUUAAAUAUCGUGUAGGAAGUGGGCAGCCCGGGGCUUGGCUUUCGGGUGUUGUCUGGUCACUGGGGAGGGGUCUGAUCUAGAGGCAUCACACCCCCUCUUGGUGGUAUACAGACCCCAAGGUAGGUGAAACAGGCUCAGAGAGGGCACGUGUUUUGCCAGAAUCGAUCAGAGCAAGUCAGGUGCCUGAGUGGAGAUUGCAGCUUAGCUCUGGUAUCAGCCUUAAUGGUCCAUCCCCACGGUGUGCUGGAAGACCCCCACCCCUCCCCUCCUGGGUGGUUGUCAGCCGAGGGCGCUGAUGCUUGAAUUCUCCGGAGAUCGCUGGCGUCCUUAGAGCAGGUUUCCCGAGUCACUUGUGAGACAUCACGUUAUUUGUCCUGAGUUCUGGACAUUUAUCCCCUCAAGGUAGAUCAAUCAAGAUUAGAUCACUCCAAUUUAGGUUUCAAGCUCCAGCCAGACCUUCUGCCAAAUUGAAAAAAAAUUAAGGGAGAAGGGACUUUGAUAGGAGAAGGCAAAUUUUAAGAUUUGAAAAUGGAGGGGACCUUCUUCCCUUGAUGUAUAUGUUGGCCAGAGUUGCUCUGUCGUCAUUGAUAGGCACUCAAUGCUCUUUCCAAGUUAGCAAAACCAUCAUGAGCCCAGCGCCCCGAUGGAGACAGAGAUGCCCGAUUGGCAGGCUGGGGUGAAAGCGUGAGGUGGCCGUCUGUGCCCUUGGAUGUCUUCCAGGAGGCUGUUGAGAUUAGGGGACUGGGACCAGGACCCCCUAACCUCCCCCUCCCCAUCCCGGAGUUAGUAGAGAAUAAAGUAGUGGAGUGUUUCCUUAGGAUUUCACUAAAUAAUGAAACGGUGAAAAAAAUUCACAGGAGGCCCUCCCCACUCCCUCAAAAAAUACAAACCAAUAUUUAAAAACAGGCCCCCACACUGCUGUUUGAUAAUAGCGCCUGUGGGCAUUUGAGAAUCUGGGGGGUUGCAGGGGGUGCUGGGGAGUGGGAAACAGCCCUGGGUUCCAGGAUCUUGGGAUUUGUGCUCAUUUGUGGGUCUUCGUGGCACCCCAAGACCCUGGGUGUCUCCAGAAGUUAGGAGGCCUGGAAAUGAGCAUUCCUGUGCACCCCAUUUUUCUAGCCCGGGGUUGAACUCUUUCCCAUGCUCUCAACUGGCUUCCUGUGUUGGCCCUGGGACCCCCAGAGCUCAAGUCAGUCCCCGAGGCCACCCUCGUUCUGUUCUGCUUUUGCUCUCCCUGGCCCACCCUCCUCCCUGUGUUUCAGCCCUUUCUCUCCAUUUUCUGUCUCUCUGUCUCCUCCCGCUUCCCCCCCAGGUUCUCCCCUCCCUCCUUUACCAUCUCCUGCCUGGCCCUCCCCGGGUGCCCCUAGGCCGCCCCUCUCUCCUCCGGGUGACCCCAGCCCCAGUCUUGGCACAAAGUGGGGCUCUUUGAGAGUAUGUGGGAUGUGUGUUUGGACGGCGAGCCAGUGGAGGGCUCGGCAGCUGCCCCCGCACGCAGCCAGGGCCGGGCGUCUGGGGAGCCAGGAGCUCUAGGUCAGGAGGUUGGAGGUGGGGGGCCCGUCGUGGAGCACAGGCACCGUCCCCUCCCGAGCCUGCUGCCCGCGCCCCCCACUCGCCCGCCCACCAUCCCCUCAUCCAACAGUUGAUCCUCACUGAGCCUUUCCACGCCAGGCCUGGGCCGGGCACCCGCCCCCCAUAUCGCCCCUUGACAGCCUCUUUCCCUGGGAGGGGGACUGGGGGUGCAGGGGUUGCCCCCGCGGGGGUCCGCCUCAGGGGUGUCCAUGCAUGCCAGGACCGGGGACAGGCGCUGAGAGCCGGGGGGCCUCCUGGCUGUCCUCCUCCCUUGGGCGAGUUGGUCACCCCGGCCUUUAAUUUGAACCCCAGAGGGGCUCCCCAUGCUGCCCAUCCCAGAGCCAGCUGGAGCCCCCUCCUCUGCCUCUCCCACCCCGCCCCAUGGCUGGCUGCUGCUCUGGAUGCUUCCUGGCCCUGAUGCUCUCAGGGCAGAGGUGGGAGCACAGAACAGCUGGGGUGUGCACCCCCCUAGGCUUCAGCCAUUCGGGUCUCCCUCUUGAGGUGGGGUCCUUGUAUGGACAUCUCCUUCUAGAAGAUUCCUCCCCCCCCAGGGGCUCAGUGUAGCUUCCUUUGCCCCCUGACUGGAGUCGGUGUCUAGUGCAAAGAAAGGGCAGAUGGUUGGGGACCUCCAGGGAGCAGCUGUGGACUCCACCUCCACCUGGCUGCCUACCUGCUCUGCUCUACCUGGUGGCUCCGCCCCCAGUUCUUUACUCACUUGGUGCUCUGCUUGCUACAGUUGUGCCCCUGGAUGGCCCCUCCCUGCAGGGCUCAGCUCCCUGCCCUCUGCCACUCAGGUCGGCUUUCCUUGGCCAGUGCACAUGGAGCCCACACCUGGGCUUCCCCACCCUGCCUGCUGCCUCAUCCACCUCCCACCUACCUGUGACCAAACAGCACUCCCCCUCAGCAUUUGUCUGAGCCCUUGAGCAGCUCCCCAGUGCCCAUGGGGCGUCUCCCUCGCCCAGGAACCAUCCCCAGAUGCCUUCUCCCAAGGGCCUGGCUUCCCAGGGUCAGGCGACCAGCCCGACGCAUGCCCUGUCCUGCUGGACCCAGAGGCACUCCUUGUCCCUGGUGGGCAGUGCCCACCGCCCUGCUCCUCCUGCCCCUUGCUGAUGGCUCAUGCUGCUGUGGCCCUUAGGGGCUGCUGCCUAGGAUACUUGUUUCUCUCCACGCCUCUUUUCCUAGCCCAUCCCACGUUAGCUAACACCUCUCCACCGAAAAGCAAACUGCAGGGUUGGCCUCGACCUGGCUGGGUUGGCUGAAGAGUUGGGGACGGGAGGGGCAGGAGAGCCCCCCAAGGCCCACCGCCCUGGACCGAGACCCCCAAAGCGUCUCACGCCGAGUUCCGUGGCUCUCUGACUCCUUCCUGAUCUGGGCCGAGGCCAUCACCCUGGAAUCCUCCAUGGGAAGGGACAUCUGGACACUGCACCCCAGCACCUGCCACCACCUUUAAAUCCCUCCACAGCCUCGGGGAUGCCCUCAUGUUCCCACGGGACAGGCUGGACCCAGAGACCCUCAGCUCCGGAAGCAGGGCCACCCCCAGGCGAGGAGGGGCGCCCCGGCCCUGGCCUGUCCCCGAGGAGAGACACAGCCUCUGGAAGGAUGGACUGGGCCGAACCAGGGCUCGGGCGGUCGGGCCUGCCCCUGCUCCCCCCACCACUCACCUGGAGACUUGGGGGAGCACUGGGCCUUCACCUGUGGACCUGUGAGACGGCUCGGACACCUACCCCACAGGGUUGUUGUGGGGUCACCGUGACGGGGCAUGCAGUCGCCCACUCCGGGCUUGGCACGGCCUCCCUCAAUAAAUGUGUUUGUUGCCUUACC